UUUUUUUUUUUUUUUUUUUGGUUUACUUGUUGAAAGAGUUAUUACAACUACNACUAUAAUUAUAACUACAACUAUAACUAUAACUGCAACUAUAACUACAACGAUAAGAACUAUCACUACUCUGAAGACAACGAUGNGUUUUCUCAAGAUGAUAACGGAUCUAGCUUCGCCAUCAAUAAGUAUGAGACAAAGGAGUCCAUCUUUGAUGAAACAUCCAUUUUCCUGNUGNACAUUUUUGCAGGACAACUAGCCUGAGCACAAGAGACAUGGNGNACUAGACCUUGNGCGGAAUGNCUACUUCAAAACUUGCAUCUUUAUAUCUGAUAUAUAGAGAUAUAGAGAUAUAGAGAUAUAGAGAGAGGCUGAUGAUUUAUAAACACAAACGAUAAGACUUGUAACAUGAAGUUUGUCGAAAAAGUCAAUCUUUAAAUUCCUUUCUGAACCUCUCUGUUAUGUCAGNGCUUCGGUAUUAUGCUUUAAUGCAGUCACUUGAGGCGGUGGCCUAAUAGGNGCCAAGGUACCCGCAUAUUUAGUUUCAUGGUUGGGGAUUACUGGAGAACGACUGNGGAAGAGACCCAACCCGNAUCCGNGGUUUUUCCAAUUGGGGA
rnacentral:sRNA from 1 species